AUUUCAGCUUAAUUUUUUUUUUCUUGGUAGGGGAGGAAUCACUUUAUAGUUUUAGUUUUAGGUUAACCUAAUUAACUGAGAACACUUUGAGAAAUUAAAGUUAAUACAGUCAACUUACAAAUCUGAUACUUUAUAAGUUUUAGGCUUAAUACAAAGUACCGACAUAUUUGCAAAACUUUUCUCAUUCAGAGCUGAAAGCAGGGGACAAGAAGAAAAGGAGACCCAUCUUUAUUAACUUUUGUCAGGGCUCAAGGUCCAUGAGGGAUAGGAACAUUCAGAUCAAUGUUCCUUGAAAUUGUGUAAUGCAUAUAGAGCUCUGUUAAACAACAAAUUCUCACAGUGCUCUGUUAUUUAUUUAGAUUCUUUUAAUUUCAAUGCUACAAAUGUAAAACUAGGAAUAAACUUUUUUUUUUUUUUUUUUGAGACAGAGUCUCAUUCUGUCACCCAGGCUGGGGUGCAGUGCGAUCUUGGCUCACUGCAACCUCCGCCUCCCGGGUUCAAGCAAUUCUCUUGCCUCAGCCUCCUGAGAAGCUGGGAUUACAGGCACGCAACACCCCACCUGGCUAAUUUUUGUAUUUUUAGUAGAGUUGGGGUUUCACCACGUUGGUCAGGCUGGUCUUGAACUCCUGACCUCAUGAUCUGCCCGCCUUGGCCUCCCGAAGUGCUGGGAUUACAGACGUGAGCUGUGCCAGAUGUAGGAAUAAACUUUUUAUGCUUUUAGUUCUUAUACAAGUGUACAAUCAAAUGAAUGCACAUAAACAGAGACAGAGAGGAGUAAAAUUCAAAUCAAGAAGCAUUAAUUCUUGUGAUGGAUGUUGCUUUGGUAACACUAAUGGCCAAUGUUGUGCAUAUCAGGUAAAACAAUAGGCAGUUGCCGGGGGGGUGGAGCCAAGAUGGCCGAAUAGGAACAGCUCCAGUCUACAGCUCCCAGCAUGACCAGCGCAGAAGAUGGGUGAUUUGUGCAUUUCCAACUGAGGUACCGGGUUCAUCUCACUGGGUAGUGCUGGACAGUGGGUGCAGGACAGUGGGUGCAGCGCACCGUGCGUGAGCCAAAGCAGGGCGAGGCAUCGCCUCAUCCAGGAAGCGCAAGGGGUCAGGAAAUUCCCUUCCUAGUCAAAGAAAGGGGUGACAGACGGAACCCAGAAAAUUGGGUCACUUCCACCCUAAUACUGCCCUUUUCCAACGGGCUUAACAAAUGGCACACCAGGAGAUUAUAUCCUGCACCUGGCUUGGAGAGUCCUAUGCCCACGGAGCUUCGCUCAUUGCUAGCACAGCAGUCUGAGAUCAAACUGCAAGGCGGCAGUGAGGCUGGAGGAGGGGCACCCGCCAUUGCCCAGGCUUUAGGAGGUAAACAAAGUGGCCAGGAAGCUCAAACUGGGUGGAACCCACCACAGCUCAAGGAGGCCUGCCUGCCUCUGCAGCCUCCACCUCUGCGGGCAGGGCACAGACAAACAAAAGGCAGCAGUAACCUCUGCAGACUUAAAUGUCCCUGUCUGACAGCUUUGAAGAGAGCAGUGGUUCUCUCAGCACGCAGUCUGGGCAGACUGCCUCCUCAAGUGGGUCCCUGACCCCCGAGUAGCCUAACUGGGAGGCACCCCCCCAGUAGGGGCAGACUGACACCUCACACAACCAGGUACUCCCCUGAGACAAAACUUCCAGAGGAACGAUCAGGCAGCAGCACUUGCGGUUCACCAAUAUCUGCUGUUCUGCAGCCACCACUGCUGAUACGCAGGUAAACAGGCUCUGGAGUGGACCUCCAGCAAACUCCAACAGACCUGCAGCUGAGGGUCCUGACUGAUAGAAGAAAAACUAACAAACAGAAAGGACAUCCACACCAAAAACAUCACCAUCAUCAAAGACCAAAGGUAGAUAAAACCACAAAGAUGGGGGAAAAAAAGAGCAGAAAAAAUGGAAACUCUAAAAAUCAGAGCACCUCUCCUCCUCCAAAGGAAUGCAGCUCCUCACCAGCAACGGAACACAGCUGGACGGAGAAUGACUUUGACGAGUUGAGAGAAGGAGGCUUCAGAAGAUCAAACUACCAGCUAAAGGAGGAAGUUCGAACCAAUGGCAAAGAAGUUAAAAACCUUGAAAAGAAAUUAAAAGAAUGACUAACUAGAAUAACCAAUGCAGAGAAGUCCUUAAAGGACCUGAUGGAGCUGAAAACCACGGCACGAGAACUAUGUGACGAAUGCACAAGCCUCAGUAGUCGAUGUGAUCAACUGGAAGAAAGGAUAUCAUCAAUGAAAGACGAAAUGAAUGAAAUGAAGCGAGAAGAGAAGUUUAGAGAAAAAAGAAUAAAAACAAACAAAGUCUCCAAGAAAUACGGGAGUAUGUGAAAAGCCCAAAUCUACGUCUGAUUGGUGUACCUGAAAGUGACAGGGAGAAUGGAACCAAGUUGGAAAACACUCUGCAGGAUAUUAUCCAGGAGAACUUCCCCAAUCUAGCAAGGCAGGCCAACAUUCAAAUUCAGGAAAUACAGAGAACGCCACAAAGAUACUCCUUGAGAAGAGCAACUCCAAGACACAUAAUUGUCAGAUUCACCAAAGUUGAAAUGAAGGAAAAAAUGUUAAGAGCAGCCAGAGAGAAAGGUCGGGUUACCCACAAAGGAAAGCCCAUCAGACUAACAGCUGAUCUCUCAGCAGAAACUCUACAAGCCAGAAGAGAGUGGGGACCAAUAUUCAACAUUCUUAAAGAAAAGAAUUUUCAAUCCAGAAUUUCAUAUCCAGCCAAACUAAGCUUCAUAAGUGAAGGAGAAAUAAAAUACUUUACAGACAAGCAAAUGCUGAGAGAUUUUGUCACCACCAGGCCUGCCCUAAAAGAGCUCCUGAAGGAAGCACUAAACAUGGAAAGGAACAACCGCAGUACCAGCCACUGCAAAAACAUGCCAAAUUGUAAAGACCAUCAAGGCUAGGAAGAAACUGCAUCAACCAAUGAGCAAAACAACCAGCUAACAUCAUAAUAACAGGAUCAAAUUCACACAUAACAAUAUUAACCUUAAAUGUAAAUGGGCUAAAUGCUCCAAUUAAAAGACACAGACUGGCAAAUUGGAUAGAGUCAAGACCCAGCAGUGUGCUGUAUUCAGGAAACCCAUCUCACGUGCAGAGACACACAUAGGCUCAAAAUAAAGGGAUGGAGGAAGAUCUACCAAGCAAAUGGAAAACAAAAAAAGGCAGGGGUUGCAAUCCUAGUCUCUGAUAAAACAGACUUUAAACCAACAAAGAUCAAAAGAGACAAAGAAGGCUAUUACAUAAUGCUAAAGGGAUCAAUUCAACAAGAAGAACUAACUAUCCUAAAUAUAUAUGCACCUAAUACAGGAGCACCCAGAUUCAUAAAGCAAGCCCUUAGUGACCUACAAAGAGACUUAGACUCCCACACAAUAAUAAUGGGAGACUUUAACACCCCACUGUCAACAUUAGACAGAUCAACGAGACAGAAAGUUAACAAGGAUAUCCAGGAAUUGAACUCAGGUCUGCACCAAGCGGACCUAAUAGACAUCUACAGAACUCUCCACCCCAAAUCAACAGAAUAUACAUUCUUUUCAGCACCACACCACACCUAUUUCAAAAUUGACCACAUAGUUGGAAGUAAAGCACUCCUCAGCAAAUGUAAAAGAAUAGAAAUUAUAACAAACUGUCUCUCACACCACAGUGCAAUCAAACUAGAACUCAGGAUUAAGAAACUCACUCAAAACUGCUCAACUACAUGGAAACUGAACAACCUGCUCCUGAAUGACUACUGGGUACAUAACAAAAUGAAGGCAGACAUAAAGAUGUUCUUUGAAACCAAAGAGAACAAAGACACAACAUACCAGAAUCUCUGGGACACAUUCAAAGCAGUGUGUAGAGGGAAAUUUAUAGCACUAAAUGCCCACAAGAGAAAGCACGAAAGGUCUAAAAUUGACACCCUAACAUCACAAUUAAAAGAACUAGAGAAGCAAGAGCAAACACAUUCAAAAGCUAGCAGAAGGCAAGAAAUAACUAAGAUCAGAGGAGAACUGAAGGAGAUAGAGACACAAAAAACCCUUCAAAAAAAUAAAUGAAUCCAGGAGCUGGUUUUUUGAAAAGAUCAACAAAAUGGAUAGACUGCUACCAAGACUAAUAAAGAAGAAAAGAGAGAAGAAUCAAAUAGACGCAAUAAAAAAUGACAAAGGGGAUAUCACCACUGAUCCCACAGAAAUACAAACUACCAUCAGAGAAUACUAUAAACGCCUCUAUGCAAAUAAAUAGAAAAUCUAGAAGAAAUGGAUAAAUUCCUGGACACAUACACCCUCCCAAGACUAAACCAGGAAGAAGUUGAAUCUCUGAAUAGACCAAUAACAGGCUCUCAAAUUGAGGCAAUAAUUAAUAGCUUACCAACCAAAAAAAGUCCAGGACCAGAUGGAUUCACAGCCGAAUUCUACCAGAGGUACAAGGAGGAGCUGGUACCAUUCCUUCUGAAACCAUUCCAGUCAAUAGAAAAAGACGGAAUCCUUCCUAACUCAUUUUAUGAGGCCAGCGUCAUCCUGAUACCAAAGCCUGGCAGAGACACCACAUAAAAAGAGAAUUUUAGACCAAUAUCCUUGAUGAACACUGAUGCAAAAAUUCUCGGUAAAAUACUGGCAAACCGAAUCCAGCAACACAUCAAAAAGCUUAUCCACCAUGAUCAGGUGGGCUUCAUCCCUGGGAGGCAAGGCUGGUUCAACAUACGAAAAUCAAUAAACGUAAUCCAGCAUAUAAACAGAACCAAAGACAAAAACCGCAUGAUAAUCUCAAUAGAUGCAGAAAAGGCCUUUGACAAAAUUCAACAACGCUUCAUGCUAAAAACUUUCAAUAAAUUAGGUAUUGAUGGGAUGUAUCUCAAAAUAAUAAGAGCUAUCUAUGACAAACCCACAGCCAAUAUCAUACUGAAUGGACAAAAACUGGAAGCAUUACCUUUGAAAACUGGCACAAGACAGGGAUGCCCUCUCUCACCACUCCUAUUCAACAUAGUGUUGGAAGUUCUGGCCAGGGCAAUCAGGCAGGAGAAGGAAAUAAAGGGUAUUCAUUUAGGAAAAGAGGAAGUCAAAUUGUCCCUGUUUGCAGAUGACAUGAUUGUAUAUCUAGAAAACCCCAUCAUCUCAGCUCCAAAUCUCCUUAAGCUGAUAAGCAACUUCAGCAAAGUCUCAGGAUACAAACUCAAUGUGCAAAAAUCACAAGCAUUCUUAUACACCAAUAACAGACAAACAGCCAAAUCAUGAGUGAACUCCCAUUCACAAUUGCUUCAAAGAGAAUAAAAUACCUAGGAAUCCAACUGACAAGGGAUAUGAAUGACCUCUUCAAGGAGAACUACAAACCACUACUCAAUGAAAUAAAAGAGGAUACAAACAAAUGCAAGAACAUUCCAUGCUCAUGGGUAGGAAGAAUCAAUAUCGUGAAAAUGGCCAUACCGCCCAAGGUGAUUUAUAGAUUCAAUGCCAACCCCAUCAAGCUACCAAUGACUUUCUUCACAGAAUUGGAAAAAAACUACUUUAAAGUUCAUAUGGAACCAAAAAAGAGCCCGCAUUACCAAGUCAAUCCUAAGCCAAAAGAACAAAGCUGGAGGCAUCACGCUACCUGACUUCAAACUAUACUACAAGGCUACAGUAACCAAAACAGCAUGGUACUGGUACCAAAACAGAGAUAUAGACCAAUGGAACAGAACAGAGCCCUCAGAAAUAAUGCUGCAUAUCUACAACUAUCUGAUCUUUGACAAACCUGACAAAAAGAAGAAAUGGGGAAAGGAUUCCCUAUUUAAUAAAUGGUGCUGGGAAAACUGGCUAGCCAUAUGUAGAAAGCUGAAACUGGAUCCCUCCUUUACACCUUAUACAAAAAUUAAUUCAAGAUGGAUUAAAGACUUACAUGUUAGACCUAAAACCAUAAAAACCCUACAAGAAAACCUAGGCAAUACCAUUCAGGACAUAGGCGUGGGCAAGGACUUCAUGUCUAAAACACCAAAAGCAAUGGCAACAAAAGCCAAAAUUGACAAAUGGGAUCUAAUUAAACUAAAGAGCUUCUGCACAGCAAAAGAAACCACCAUCAGAGUGAACAGGCAACCUACAGAAUGGGAGAAAAUGUUUGCAACCUAUUCAUCUGACAAAGGGCUAAUAUCCAGAAUCUACAAUGAACUCCAACAAAUUUACAAGAAAAAAACAAACAACCCCAUCAACAAGUGGGCAAAGGAUAUGAACAGACACUUCUCAAAAGAAGACAUUUAUGCAGCCAAAGAACACAUGAAAAAAUGCUCAUCAUCACUGGCCAUCAGAGAAAUGCAAAUCAAAACCACAAUGAGAUACCAUCCAUCCCACACCAGUUAGAAUGGCAAUCAUUAAAAAGUCAGGAAACAACAGGUGCUGGAGAGGAUGUGGAGAAAUAGGAACACUUUUACACUGUUGGUGGGACUGUAAACUAGUUCAACCAUUGUGGAAGUUGGUGUGGCGAUUCCUCAGGGAUGUAGAACUAGAAAUACCAUUUGACCCAGCCAUCCCAUUACUGGGUAUAUACUCAAAGGAUUAUAAAUCAUGCUGCUAUAAAGACACAUGCACAUGUAUGUUUAUUGCGGCACUAUUCACAAUAGCAAAGACUUGGAACCAAGCCAAAUGUCCAACAAUGAUAGACUGGAUUAAGAAAAUGUGGCACAUAUACAACAUGGAAUACUAUGCAGCCAUAAAAAAGGAUGAGUUCAUGUGCUUUGUAGGGACAUGGAUGAAGCUGGAAACCAUCAUUCUCAGCAAACUAUUGCAAGAACAAAAAACCAAACGCUGCAUGUUCUCACUCACAGGUGGGAACUGAACAAUGAGAACACAUGGACACAGGAAGGGGAACAUCACACACCGAGGACUGUUGUGGGGUUGGGGGAGAGGGGAGGGAUAGCACUGAGAGAUAUACCUAAUGCUAAAUGAUGAGUUAAUGGGUGCAGCACACCAACAUGGCCAUGUAUACAUAUGUAACAAACCUGCACAUUGUGCACAUGUACCCUAAAACUUAAAGUAUAAUAAUAAUAAAAUUAAAAAAAAAUAGGCAGUUGCCACUUUGUAGAUCAUAAAUAAAAGUGAUGUUAAAAAAAUUUUAAUUGGGAGGUCAUUAAGCCGAAGCAUUCCCAGCACUUUAAGUUCCUAGGUAAGCAAACCAAAGCCCAAUGUGAACAGUAAAAUGAAACUAGAGAAGUUACCAUCAGAAACCUCCAACUAACCUCUAACUAGGGACUUUCUACUCUAACAAAUCAAAUAUGUUUUCUUUGUCUUACUUCCACGUUCCGCCUAUUAAAGCUCACUACCCAUGCUGCUGGGUAGAGCUCUCUGAACCUUUUCUGGUUCUGGGUGCUGCCCAAUUCAUGAAUCCUCUAAUGCUCACAUAAACUCUGUUAAAAGUAUUGUGUCCAGUGUUUUUCUUUUAACAGUGGCAAAAAGACUAACUUACAGGUUCCAUUUUUGUUGACUUGAAUCUUUCGACUCUGAACAAGAGGGACCCCUCACUGGAAUCUCUGUUUUUAUUAUGAUUUUUAUAUAAUGUGCUAGUUUUUACAGAAGUAAUUCAAGUGUACUCCGACAUAUAUGGCUUAAAAACUUUGAUUCAUCAGAAUAAGAGUCAUUUUCUAUUUUACACUCUACUUUCUGCUACAGAAUUAUUUCCAGUUGUCAUGUAUUAAGAUGGAACCCAAAGAAGACAUCAUCCAGCAAGUAACCUUAACAUCUGGACGCAGACAGCCCCAGCAAUCCUGGAGGAAACCUUGGAAAUACGCGGGUCAUCUUCUAUGAAGACCACAGCAGCCCUGAGAAACCAAUACAGCGUUCCAAUCUUUAAAAGAAGAGCCAAACGUCAUGCCUGGAUUAUUCCAGAAUUUUGCUGCUACGAACAAUGCUGCUAAGAUGAGUGUCUUCAAUCACUUGCA